UUACAAUAUUAUGAUGAAGGGAAAUGGGUGCAAAGAUGCAUAUAUUUUGCAAAUUUGUGUACUGAAACACAUUUAUUAGAAGAAAUGUGCUGUGGACUAUUUUACUCUGUGUGUGUGUGUGUGUGUGUGUGUGUGUGCGGACUGCAAA